rnacentral:rRNA from 1 species
UGGGGAAUUUUGCGCAAUGGGGGCAACCCUGACGCAGCAACGCCGCGUGGAGGACGAAGGCUUUCGAGUCGUAAACUCCUGUCCUCGGGGACGAAUCAGUGACGGUACCCGGGGAGGAUGCCCCGGCUAACUCCGUGCCAGCAGCCGCGGUAAUACGGGGGGGGGCGAGCGUUGUUCGGAAUUACUGGGCGUAAAGGGCGCGUAGACGGCCUGAGAAGUUCUGGGUGAAAGUCCUCGGCUCAACCGGGGAAUUGCCUGGAAAACCAUCGGGCUGGAGUGCUGGAGAGGCCGGCGGAAUUCCUGGUGUAGCGGUGAAAUGCGUAGAUAUCAGGAGGAACACCCGAGGCGAAGGCGGCCGGCUGGACAGACACUGACGCUGAGGCGCGAAAGCCAGGGGAGCAA